rnacentral:rRNA from 1 species
GAUGAACGCUGGCGGUAUGCUUAACACAUGCAAGUCGAACGGUCACUUCGGUGAUAGUGGCGGACGGGUGAGUAACGCGUGAGAAUCUGUCUUCAGGUCGGGGACAACAGUUAGAAAUGACUGCUAAUACCGGAUGUGCCUUUGGGUGAAAGAUUUAUUGCCUGAAAAAGAGCUCGCGUCAGAUUAGCUAGUAGGUGGUGUAAGAGACUACCUAGGCUCCGAUCUGUAGCUGGUCUGAGAGGACGAUCAGCCACACUGGAACUGAGACACGGUCCAGACUCCUACGGGCGGCAGCAGUGGGGAAUUUUCCGCAAUGGGCGAAAGCCUGACGGAGCAAUACCGCGUGAGGGACGAAGGCUUUUGGGUCGUAAACCUCUUUUCUCAAGGAAGAUGAUGACGGUACUUGAGGAAUAAGCAUCGGCUAACUCUGU